GACGAACGCUGGCGGCGUGCUUAACACAUGCAAGUCGAGCGGAAAGGCCCUUCGGGGUACUCGAGCGGCGAACGGGUGAGUAACACGUGAGUAACCGGCCCCAGACUUUGGGAUAACCCUCGGAAACGGGGGCUAAUACCGGAUACGACACAGCUUCGCAUGGGGUCGGUGUGGCAAGGUUUGCGGUUUGGGAUGGGCUGGCGGCCUAUCAGCUUGUUGGUGGGGUGAUGGCCUACCAAGGCGACGACGGGUAGCCGGCCUGAGAGGGCGAGCGGCCACACUGGGACUGAGACACGGCCCAGACUCCUACGGGAGGCAGCAGUGGGGAAUAUUGCACAAUGGGCGGAAGCCUGAUGCAGCGACGCCGCGUGAGGGAUGACGGCCUUCGGGUUGUAAACCUCUUUCAGCAGGGACGAAGCGUAAGUGACGGUACCUGCAGAAGAAGCGCCGGCCAACUACGUG
rnacentral:rRNA from 1 species